rnacentral:rRNA from 1 species
UACGUAGGGGGCAAGCGUUGUCCGGAAUCAUUGGGCGUAAAGAGCGCGUAGGCGGUCCGGUAAGUCAGCUGUGAAAGUCAGGGGCUCAACCCUUGAAAGCCGGUUGAUACUGUCGGGCUAGAGUCCGGAAGAGGCGAGUGGAAUUCCCGGUGUAGCGGUGAAAUGCGCAGAUAUCGGGAGGAACACCAAUGGCGAAGGCGGCCCUCUGGGACGGUACUGACGCUGAGACGCGAAAGCGUGGGGAGCGAACAGG